rnacentral:rRNA from 1 species
UACGAAGGGUGCAAGCGUUAAUCGGAAUUACUGGGCGUAAAGCGUGCGUAGGUGGUCUUUUAAGUCCGUUGUGAAAGCCCUGGGCUCAACCUGGGAAUGGCAGUGGAUACUGGAAGGCUGGAGUACGGUAGAGGAGGGUGGAAUUCCCGGUGUAGCGGUGAAAUGCGUAGAGAUCGGGAGGAACACCGGUGGCGAAGGCGGGUCUCUGGGACGGUACUGACGCUGAGACGCGAAAGCGUGGGGAGCGAACAGG